rnacentral:lncRNA from 1 species
UACUUCACUUGAAUUGAAUAUUCUAUUAGACAGACAUGGCUUUUCUUCAAUUUAGAUAUGGGAGGGCGAUAUAUACAUCACGGCAUCAGUUGUAAAGGGAGAACAAUCGGAAGCUACCUGUGUUUAUUGAUGUGUAGCACCUAUAUAAAUCUUUUGCGAUGAAAUUGGACUGACAGGACCUACUAGACAAUGCUCAGUGGAU